rnacentral:sRNA from 1 species
UUUGAUUUGCGAAGGGUUCGUUCAGUUGCUUAAGAGUGUGUGUGCGCGAGUGGGAGUGGAUUGGAUCGGUGUGGUGACAGGGAACGAGACGGGCCACGCCACAGCGGCCUCUUAACGGACAAGAGAAAAAACCAAAUUGCAAUUGUCCUGGUUUGGUGACUGCUGCUGUGGAGCGCCUUGAGGGAACGAUGACAUGACUGCCCUUCUACCUGAAAUGAGCACUUUGUGGAGUAUGAUUUCUAUUAACUUGAAAUAUGAACUAUGAACCAAAUUGUACAUUGGUUUACAUGUAUGUACAUAUAUUCAACAAAUGCCUGUGCUGGUUGAAGCAGUCGCAGAGCAGGCUGGCACGUUCAAAAGUCUAGGAAGGCAGCAAGGACAGGGGCAAACAGUCGCCAAAUAUUUCCCUGUUUUAACAGACCAGGGACCUCAAGAGCUGGACAUGCAAAUAAACAGCACAAAUAGAGUGUUCUUUUUACAGAUUGAUACAAUAAGGAAAAUGUUAUUACCGAGCGGCGUUUCAAAUAAUUUGAAAUAUGUUUUGGCCAAUUAAGAUGUGUUGGCAUAUAACGAGAAUGGGCUGCAAGGCAAGUUUGCGCUAAAAAAUUUAAAGAAGUUUUAUGGAGUUUUGAUUGGAAGGCUUUUUUGUUUUUUUGUAUGCCUAUUAUAUCUGUAUUAUAUAUUUAUAGAUGCUGGAUCAGCUGAAGUCCAGCUUAGGAAGGCCCUUCAGCUGCAAAAAAACGUUAUUUUUAAAACAGUACCACCGCGAACAGCAGAACAUAUAUUUAAGUAAAUUUCAAAAUUAAAAUGAAAUGAAAUGCAGAUUGAUAACCAACUAGAGGUACCCAUUCCACUAGCUACUAGACGACCCAUAUCACCAUAUCAUUGCGGGCAAAAAUGGAAAUGAUGAAAAGCAUUGUUAAGGGUUAGUAAAGAAAGUACCCCUGGUCGGUUAGUGAGUGGUGAUAUCACCACCUCCGAACUAGUUCCCAGUGCUGCUGGGAAAAGAGAGUGCGUUGAGUCAAUUUGCCGCCUUGUAUAAUGCCGUCAUGAGCGGGCUCAAUCCCGCACACACACAUGGACACACACUAACACAUAUGAAGCUCAGGGAGCUUAUACGGGAGAAAAAUGAAAUGAGAGACUCCACGCAGGUCGGUGAAGCAGAAGGAGGAGCAUAGCACGUCCAGGAAGCACGACCAGGUGGACUUCUACCUCACACAAGCGCUGAGCGGAAAUCAGGGAGAAGACACACAACAUGUCCUCUUCGAGUGCUACAGUGUCACGCCACAAAUUCGAUCACUAUAGUGAUAGUGAGGCUAUAGCCUCAGACGGUGGGCAAGGAUCAGCGCCGAGCCUUUUUGAAGAGCGUUUUGACACUUUUCGCGGCUCACAACUCUCCCGCUCGUUUUUACUUCUCAUCAGACGCUCUGCGCUUGCCCACAAUUGCACAAAUUGUUUAAAAAUGUACAUAUAUGUACAUACAUAUGUACAUAUGGAGUUAAUCAAUUUUCGGAACUUAUUUGGAUGCCUUAGGGUCAAUGUGUCACGGCCAUGGCAUCCAGCACAUUUUGAACCAUUUUUUCUCAAAAUUUAGCGGCACUGAAAACACUCAAACACCCAAUUGGGUAAUUCGCCUUCGAUCGGUUUUGCCCUAGGAAGGAAUUAAACUAAGGUUAUUUCAAAAAACUUGACUAUGUUUUAGUAACAAACGAGGGGGAACGUUGGGAGUUGCUGCGGACACCGCAACUCUACAGUUAUACCCGAAUACUAAGUCAGUAUGGCUCUCCUCGGCAGAGACGCCGCUUAUAUUAAUCGACACGAC